AGAUCUGAAGCUUCUCCGUCUCUCUGGCCGAAGGUGAGCUACUGUUCUGUUCUACUGAAUGUUUUUUCGAGCAUUUGCAAAAUGUCAAAUUGUAAAUAAACGAAAAGUGCCAAGACGAACUGUUAUACCAAACGGCAAAACAGAGGCGUAUGCGAAGGGUGGGCUAGAGGCGUAGCAUUCUGUCGGUGGGUCGAAUGGAAACAGUUUCGCAUGACCUACUGACCUUUGUUGCCAACUUUCCUCGCUUAGCUUUUACUUGCUACUGAUAACAUUACAAAAUCACAAAAAUGGCUGUGCUGAAUGAAUACGACAUAAGAAUACGAGUAUAAAGUCUGUUACGAGUAUAUGAGUGUAUAAAAUACAAAUUACUUUGCUUAAAAAGAACGGCUUUGUAUAAUAAAAUUUAUUUAUUUACUACCAUCGCCGCUCUGAUAAUUCUACAAGGACUGCAAAGGACUCAAAAUUGUAGUACCAUGAUCUAAAGCUUAGAUGUAGAUUGUAAUUUCUUGGUCUUGUAAUUCUUUCCCAUCCUGUAGUAGGCACCCCUUACAAAAUGACAUCCCCGCCCCUGUUUGUGCAAAUUCGGGCAAGACCCGCCCACAGAAACCCCCUUGACCCAUUGAAUGCUGUUCGGGAAAUGUUAUACAAGAGCUUUUACCAUGCUCCACACUCUCUCUCAGAGGGAGCGGAGAAAGUGUUUCCCGCUGAGAGCCGCUCUCCUCUCGAGAAGCUUUCUCGCUGCGCUGCCAGGUUUUGUUUUUGUUUUGGGAAAAGCGUUCGCGGCGAAAUGUUCAUGUUUUGAUAAGAGGAGAACGGUCUCCCCCCGCCACCCCCUGUGGGAGCCUUCGUUUAGGGGGGAAGUCAAGCGGGGAAUAAUUUUCAAAUAAACAAGCCAGGGCGGCAACAAAGAGGCUUGAAGCGACGACCGACGACUGACGACCGACAAUGCCAAGCAAACGCAAACCCCCUUGGCGAACCAGAAUUGAUAAUAGUUGCUGAAUAGUUUGGCAAAACCUUCGGUGGAACGGAAGGGGGGAGGGAGGGGGGAAGGGAAUGUUUACUUGGACAGCGCCGUCACAUCGCAUCGCCUAAUCAGCGGUUGAAACGGCCAGAAAAUCAAAUUAAAAUUGCCAAUUUGGGCGUUGUUGAGUGGGCCUCGCCUCGUUUCGCCUCCAUUUCAAUUUCAAUUUGAAUUUGAAUUUGAAUUUGAAUUUUGGUUUUGUCUGCCGCUGCUCAAUGCAGCCGGGAAUAUUUAUAUAUUUAUUUAAUUUUAAUGCCCCGCCAUACGCCGUACGUGAGUACAGCGGCAAAUCGUCCGGACUCGGAACGCGCGCAUGUGCCACAAAAAAACAGAGGAACAAAAACCGCCGAGAAGAGGGAAGCCCAGAUAUAUGGGUACUGACUCGUCCAAUACCCUCGCACCACGAUUGCUCCACAUCGCACAACGUGAUGUUCCGCCGAAGUUUUUAGUUUAGUCAUGCAUCGCACUCCCUGUGAGUAAGUUAGUUAGGUAACUUUAUAGAAAAACUUCUUGUGACAUAACAAAAAUGUAUGAUUAAUAUAUUACAAAUGUCACAAAACAUUUUAGGUCCUAGAUCUGCACUGAUAUCCCCCCCGAGCGGAAGUUACAGGGUAUGAAAAUACAAAAAUAUAAACUCGAAAUAGGAAAUCAGAGAUCGGCCAAAAAGUCGGAAAAUAUGUCAGCGCCGCGGGGCAGCGGGAGAGAUGACAUCCAAUAUGCUGAAAAACAUUGAACAUUGAAGACCUGACCCACAUAUUUUGCUGAUGGUUCUCCCCACUUUCCUUCCCCCUUACCCCUUACCCCUUCCCACUUUUCACGAUUUCUGCUUUUCCCCUCCGAAAAGUGAUUGACAAGAGGCGACAGUUGCAAGAUGCUUCCCCCUGCUCCACGCUCUUGCUGUACGCUUGAUUGAUUGCGGCUCGGCUUUCCCAAGGUCACUGGGUGGACUACAAAAGAUAUGCAAAUAUUGGGUGCCGAGCGAAAGGAGCUGGGAGCGUGACUCACGUCGAAUCGGGGUCCCAAACAUCGCAGUGGAAGGAACAGAGGAAGGAGCUCGGGGCACAAUCUAUGAAGACGGCCAGAAGAUCGACAAGCGGCCAUAAACUCAAACUACUUAUGGCAACGAGCAGUUUUCAUUGCAUAUUUAUUCGGCCAUAAAAUGCGAAAGAGCAGCCGCACAUGGGAUCACAUGGCAUUCCAUACCCAGGCCUGGGUAUGCCAAUUCCCAUACCCAUACCAACGAUCCCUAGAUCCCCAACUAAAUAAAUUUCCAAAUUGUUUAUUUUCUUCCAAACAAAUCAGCGCGCAUUAAAAACAGCGAACAGAAAAUUUUAAA